AAAGGAGAUUGAGCAUGCGACCAGCUUCUACUGUUACGUGUCAACACAUAAAGACUGUGAACCAUCAGUGAAGUUCCUACAUGAUGAUAAAGUCGUUUUAGGUCACAGAGACCUGAAGGCAUCACAGACUCACUACUACGCUGUCGUGUCCUUUGAGGAGUUUAACUCACCAAUGCUGAACUCAUUAAUUUGUGAAGUGACUGAUUGUUACAGUAACGUUCAUAAGUUUCCUCUCAGAUCUCAGGCCUCAGAUGAAGACACAAAACCAGCAAUGACUGAAUCAACAACUGUUGAAAACUUAGUUACAGCAUUGAUCACUGAAGCUUCAGCAGAAAAACAAGGUUGGUGGAGGAUCAUCAUCGUCUCUGUGGGUUUAACAACACUCAUAAUCACUGUUGUUACAGUCGACAUAUGGAUCAGAACCAAAGGGAACAAAACACAAAAGAAUCAAACCACAGUGAGUGAAAAACUGAUAUUUAUUAAAGUUUUCAUUUACUACUUUAGAGCCGAAUCUCAGUGAUGUUGGUUCCACAGGUUGAUGAAGAUGAAGAUG